GAUCCAAGCCAUCCUGGGACUCCAAUCCUAAAUGUCGAACCUUAUGGAGGCCAAAAGUCCCAAUCGUUCAUGAUUCGGAGUUCUUGUUUUUUCGUUUAACCAAAAAGAUUGUGAUAACUUUGUUGACGUGGCACUAUGUCAUUCAUCACUUUUGUAAUUUUUUUAUAAUAUGAAGUGAAAAUACAUUCUUGUUUUUAGAAUGUGUUAUUCUGGAACAGUGAUUUUAUAUUAACUUCAAAGGGCAGUAUUCUUAAAAGCGAAGUUGUCGUAUUAUAUAGGAUUCAUGGAGUGGUAUAUUCUUUUAGUUUUCUUACAUAUUGCUACUGUGACCAACUCGCACACCUCUUCAAUGUGUAUCUUUUCAAAUAUUACGACUUUGAGAUUAGGGUUGUAAACAAUGUGUUUUUUUAAUUGUUAAUUUAUGACUAAAGAAGCAAAUGUUUUUGAAAAGAUAGUCGCCUAAAAUUGUUUUUUUUUUAUUAAAGCAACGAAUUUAGUACAUACUCUGAUUUAUUUCUAUUUUUUUUACAAAAUGUAUAUUAUAAGAAUUUGAAAAAACUAUGCAUAAAUAUAUAUAUAUAUAUAUAUUUCUUAAAGUUCCUUGAAAGUAUUUUUUAAAGCCCAAACAAGGUCAUCUUUGAAGGAAAUAAUUAGUAGGAUCACACCCCUACAUCCAAUUAUCUUCUAAAAAUACCAAGCAGAAUCAAAAUAUUAAAAUAAGUUAAAAAUUUAUCUUCACAACAAAUCAUGAAGAUUCAUAGCAAUUCAGGUGAAAAAAAGAAGAAUGUGAAAGAAGAUGCAAAGAAAAAUGAUGUUCGGAGUGUUGUGGGUAAACCUAGUGAUUCUAAAACUCCCAAAAACUCAUUGACCGCAGCUGAAUUAAAAAAAAAGGAAAAUGCUGAAAUUCUAUUGAAAUUGUCCAUGAACCUGUGGAGAAGAAUAAACGCUGGAUAUAUAAUUCUUAGAAACCCAGGGAAUAGUCACUACAUCGACUCAUUCCAAUGGCUCGUAGAAUUGAUGGAGCCAGCAAACAGAGCGUUCGCGCACAAAAGAGACAAGUACGUGGAGUUUGGAGAAGCUCUGGCGAGAGCCAAGGUAGCGUGGCCGAAGCCGCCGAGGCCUCCGCCGGUGUUCG